rnacentral:rRNA from 1 species
AUACGGAGGGUGCAAGCGUUGUUCGGAAUUACUGGGCGUAAAGAGCGUGUAGGCGGAUUGGUAAGUCAGAUGUGAAAGCCCAGGGCUCAACCCUGGAAGUGCAUUUGAAACUACUUUUCUUGAGUAUGGGAGAGGAGAGUGGAAUUCCCAGUGUAGAGGUGAAAUUCGUAGAUAUUGGGAGGAACAUCCGUGGCGAAGGCGACUCUCUGGACCAAUACUGACGCUGAGACGCGAAAGCGUGGGGAGC